ACGAACGCUGGCGGCGUGCUUAACCCAUGCAAGUCGAGCGGAAAGGCCCUUCGGGGUACUCGAGCGGCGAACGGGUGAGUAACACGUGAGUAAUCUGCCCUUGGCUUUGGGAUAACUACCGGAAACGGUGGCUAAUACCGGAUACGACAACCGUCUGCAUGGGCUGGUUGUGGAAAGUUUUUUCGGCCAGGGAUGUGCUCGCGGCCUAUCAGCUUGUUGGUGGGGUAAUGGCCUACCAAGGCUUCGACGGGUAGCCGGCCUGAGAGGGUGACCGGCCACACUGGGACUGAGACACGGCCCAGACUCCUACGGGAGGCAGCAGUGGGGAAUAUUGGACAAUGGGCGGAAGCCUGAUCCAGCAACGCCGCGUGAGGGAUGACGGCCUUCGGGUUGUAAACCUCUUUCAGUACCGACGAAGCGCCGAUGAUGGUGGUGACGGUAGGUACAGAAGAAGCACCGGCCAACUACGUG
rnacentral:rRNA from 1 species